GACGAACGCUGGCGGCGUGCUUAACACAUGCAAGUCGAACGGUAGGGCCCUUCGGGGUACACGAGUGGCGAACGGGUGAGUAACACGUGGGUGAUCUACCCUGCACUUCGGGAUAAGCCUGGGAAACUGGGUCUAAUACCGGAUAGGACGCCUGGCUUCAUGGUUGGGGGUGGAAAGCUUUUGCGGUGUGGGAUGGGCCCGCGGCCUAUCAGCUUGUUGGUGGGGUAAUGGCCUACCAAGGCGACGACGGGUAGCCGGGCUGCGAGGGUGACCGGUCACACUGGGACUGAGAUACGGCCCAGACUCCUACGGGAGGCAGCAGUGGGGAAUAUUGCACAAUGGGCGCAAGCCUGAUGCAGCGACGCCGCGUGAGGGAUGACGGCCUUCGGGUUGUAAACCUCUUUCAGCUAUGACGAAGCGCAAGUGACGGUAGUAGCAGAAGAAGGACCGGCCAACUACGUGCCAGCAGCCGCCGUAA
rnacentral:rRNA from 1 species